rnacentral:rRNA from 1 species
GACGAACGCUGGCGGCGUGCCUAAUACAUGCAAGUUGAACGCUAAAGCUUUAACUGGUGCUUGCACCGACUUAAGUUUUUAGAGUAGCGGACGGGUGAGUAACACGUGGGUAACCUGCCCAUCAGAGGGGGAUAACACUUGGAAACAGGUGCUAAUACCGCAUAAUUCCUUUUACCGCAUGGUAAAAGGCUGAAAGGCGCUUCUGGUGUCACUGAUGGAUGGACCCGCGGUGCAUUAGCUAGUCGGUGGGGUAACGGCCUACCGAGGCGAUGAUGCAUAGCCGACCUGAGAGGGUGAUCGGCCACAUUGGGACUGAGACACGGCCCAAACUCCUACGGGAGGCAGCAGUAGGGAAUCUUCGGCAAUGGACGAAAGUCUGACCGAGCAACGCCGCGUGAGUGAAGAAGGCCUUCGGGUUGUAAAGUACUUUCAGCGGGGAGGAAGGGAGUAAAGUUAAUACCUUUGCUCAUUGACGUUACCCGCAGAAGAAGCACCGGCUAACUCCGUGCCAGCCGCCGCCGUAACAC